AGACAAACCCAAGGAGCUCCGAGCUGGGCUGAAAAAGGAAACGGUCCUUGGGAGUGGGACUUGGUGUGCAACUCCAACAAACUGAAGGAGAUGGCCCAGUCUAUCUUCAUGGCAGGUAUACUGAUUGGAGGGCUCGUGCUUGGAGACCUGUCUGACAGGUUUGGCCGCAGGCCCAUCCUGACCUGCAGCUACCUGCUGCUGGCAGCCAGCGGCUCCGGUGCAGCCUUCAGCCCCACCUUCCCCAUCUACAUGGUCUUCCGCUUCCUGUGUGGCUUUGGCAUCUCAGGCAUUACCCUGAGCACCGUUAUCUUGAAUGUGGAAUGGGUGCCUACCCGGAUGCGGGCCAUCAUGUCGACAGCACUCGGGUACUGCUACACCUUUGGCCAGUUCAUUCUGCCCGGCCUGGCCUACGCCAUCCCCCAGUGGCGUUGGCUGCAGUUAACUGUGUCCAUUCCCUUCUUCGUCUUCUUCCUAUCAUCCUGGUGGACACCAGAGUCCAUACGCUGGUUGGUCUUGUCUGGAAAGUCCUCGAAGGCCCUGAAG
rnacentral:sRNA from 1 species